rnacentral:hammerhead_ribozyme from 1 species
GCAUUGUUGAGGUGUCCCACAAUAGGACGAAACGGAAGUCCAGUGC